UCCUAAACGAUUCUUCCCAGAGAUCACUCUUUAGGAGAUACAAAUAUUCUAGUGCAUAUGUAUUAUUGUGCUGGACCUUUUCGUAUGUUAAUGUUUCUGCUCGAUAUUACAAAUGUCAGAAGUUAUCUGGUAAAAUCUGAAGUCUCUCCUACACAGUCUCUGCUAUGUAGUCCUGUAUUUCAAUGUUUUGCUUCAAAUGUUACAUGCUAUAAAUUGCAGGUACUAUACCGAUCCAUCUGGCACAUUCUGGCAAUGCAAUGCAAAAGCAAUAGGAUCUGGAUCCGAAGGAGCUGAUAGUUCUCUUCAAGAGCAAUACAACAAGGACCUGUCCCUUCUGGAAGCUGAAACUAUAGCUCUUUCCAUCCUGAAACAAGUCAUGGA